rnacentral:rRNA from 1 species
AACGAACGCUGGCGGCAUGCCUAACACAUGCAAGUCGAACGAGACCUUCGGGUCUAGUGGCGCACGGGUGCGUAACGCGUGGGAACCUGCCCUUAGGUUCGGAAUAACUCCCCGAAAGGGGUGCUAAUACCGGAUAAUGUCUUCGGACCAAAGAUUUAUCGCCUUUGGAUGGGCCGCGUUGGAUUAGCUAGUUGGUAGGGUAAAAGCCUACCAAGGCGACGAUCCAUAGCUGGUCUGAGAGGAUGAUCAGCCACACUGGGACUGAGACACGGCCCAGACUCCUACGGGAGGCAGCAGUGGGGAAUAUUGGACAAUGGGCGAAAGCCUGAUCCAGCAAUGCCGCGUGAGUGAUGAAGGCCUUAGGGUUGUAAAGCUCUUUUACCCGGGAUGAUAAUGACAGUACCGGGAGAAUAAGCUCCGGCUAACUCCGU